GUCUAUGGCCAUGCUACCCUGAGCAUACCUGACCUUGUCUGAUCUCAGAAGCUAAGCAGGGUUGGGCCUGGUUAGUACUUGGAUGGGAGACCAUCUAGGAAUACCAAGUGCUGCAGGCA
ensembl:rRNA 5S_rRNA 5S ribosomal RNA